AUUGAACGCUGGCGGCAGGCCUAACACAUGCAAGUCGAGCGGAUGAAGGGAGCUUGCUCCUGGAUUCAGCGGCGGACGGGUGAGUAAUGCCUAGGAAUCUGCCUGGUAGGGGGGGAUAACGUCCGGAAACGGGCGCUAAUACCGCAUACGUCCUGAGGGAGAAAGUGGGGGAUCUUCGGACCUCACGGUAUCAGGUGAGCCUAGGUGGGAUUAGCUAGUUGGUGGGGUAAAGGCCUACCAAGGCGACGAUCCGUAACUGGUCGGAGAGGAUGAUCAGUCACACUGGAACUGAGACACGGUCCAGAGUCCUACGGGAGGCAGCAGUGGGGAAUAUUGGACAAUGGGCGAAAGCCUGAUCCAGCCAUGCCGCGUGUGUGAAGAAGGUCUUCUGAUUGUAAAGCACUUUAAGUUGGGAGGAAGGGCAGUAAGUUAAUACCUUGCUGUUUUGACGUUACCAACAGAAUAAGCACCGGCUAACUUCGUG
rnacentral:rRNA from 1 species